AGGAAGUAAAAGUCGUAACAAGGUUUCCGUAGGUGAACCUGCGGAAGGAUCAUUAACGAGUUUUUGAAACGGGUUGUCGCUGGCUUCUAAACAGAAGCAUGUGCACGCCUGACUCAAUCCACUCUCAAACCACUGUGCACUUACUGUAGGCUUGGUUUUUGAAGAAUGCGCAAGCGUUCAGAUAGGGCCUUGCCUAUGUUUUCACAAACGCUUCAGUCAUAGAAUGUCAUUCGCGUUUAACGCAAUAUAUACAACUUUCAGCAACGGAUCUCUUGGCUCUCGCAUCGAUGAAGAACGCAGCGAAAUGCGAUAAGUAAUGUGAAUUGCAGAAUUCAGUGAAUCAUCGAAUCUUUGAACGCACCUUGCGCUCCUUGGUAUUCCGAGGAGCAUGCCUGUUUGAGUGUCAUGGUAUUCUCAACUCUACAAAGCUUUUGCAAUGAAGAGUUGGAUUUGGAGGUAGUGUCGGCUCGAAAGAGUUGACUCCUCUUAAAUGCAUCAGUGUGAACCAUUACGGAUCGCCUUCAGUGUGAUAAUGUCUACGCUGUGGUGUUGAAGUAUCUCUAGUGUUCAUGCUUCUAACAGUCCUUUCAUGGACAACUUUGACAAUCUGACCUCAAAUCAGGUAGGACUACCCGCUGAACUUAAGCAUAUC
rnacentral:rRNA from 1 species